rnacentral:rRNA from 1 species
GAUGAACGCUAGCGGCAGGCCUAACACAUGCAAGUCGAGGGAGAGGUUACCUUCGGGUAAUCAAAACCGGCGCACGGGUGCGUAACGCGUAUACAAUCUGCCUUUCACAUAGGGAUAGCCCGAAGAAAUUUGGAUUAAUACCUAAUGGUAUAUAAGAGCGGCAUCGUUUUUAUAUUAAAGCUACGGUGGUGAAAGAUGAGUAUGCGUUCUAUUAGCUAGUUGGAGAGGUAACGGCUCCCCAAGGCGACGAUAGAUAGGGGUUCUGAGAGGGAUGUCCCCCACACUGGUACUGAGAUACGGACCAGACUCCUACGGGAGGCAGCAGUGAGGAAUAUUGGACAAUGGUCGGAAGACUGAUCCAGCCAUGCCGCGUGCAGGAUGAAGGUCCUGUGGAUUGUAAACUGCUUUUGUAAGGGAAGAAUAAGGGGUACGUGUACUUUGAUGACGGUACCUUACGAAUAAGCAUCGGCUAACUCCGUGCCAGCAGCCGCGGUAAUACGGAGGAUGCGAGCGUUAUCCGGAAUCAUUGGGUUUAAAGGGUCCGUAGGCGGGCUGAUAAGUCAGAGGUGAAAGCGCUUAGCUCAACUAAGCAACUGCCUUUGAAACUGUCAGUCUUGAAUGAUUGUGAAGUAGUUGGAAUGUGUAGUGUGGCGGUGAAAUGCUUAGAUAUUACACAGAACACCGAUAGCGAAGGCAUAUUACUAACAAUUUAUUGACGCUGAUGGACGAAAGCGUGGGGAGCGAACAGG